rnacentral:rRNA from 1 species
GGGCACCACCAGGGGGUGCAGCUGCGGCUUAUUUGACUCAACACGGGAAAUCUCACCAGGCCCGGACACCGGAAGGAUUGACAGAUUAACAGCUCUUUCUUGAUUCGGUGGGUGGUGGUGCAUGGCCGUUCUUAGUUGGUGGAGCGAUUUGUCUGGUUAAUUCCGGUAACGAACGAGACUCUAGCCUGCUAAAUAGGCGUAGUCAUUUAGGUGUGCUCGACUUCGGUCGUGCAACUCACUGGCGACGUAUUAAAAUUCUUCUUAGAGGGACCGGUGGCUUCGAGCCACACGAGAUUGAGCAAUAACAGGUCUGUGAUGCCCUUAGAUGUCCUGGGCCGCACGCGCGCUACACUGAAGGAAUCA